rnacentral:rRNA from 1 species
AGUGAACGCUGGCGGUAGGCCUAACACAUGCAAGUCGAACGGCAGCACAGUAAGAGCUUGCUCUUACGGGUGGCGAGUGGCGGACGGGUGAGGAAUACAUCGGAAUCUACUUUUUCGUGGGGGAUAACGUAGGGAAACUUACGCUAAUACCGCAUACGACCUACGGGUGAAAGCAGGGGAUCUUCGGACCUUGCGCGAUUGAAUGAGCCGAUGUCGGAUUAGCUAGUUGGCGGGGUAAAGGCCCACCAAGGCGACGAUCCGUAGCUGGUCUGAGAGGAUGAUCAGCCACCCUGGAACUGAGCCACGGUCCAGACGCCUACGGGAGGCAGCAGUGGGGAAUAUUGGACAAUGGGCGCAAGCCUGAUCCAGCCAUACCGCGUGGGUGAAGAAGGCCUUCGGGUUGUAAAGCCCUUUUGUUGGGAAAGAAAAGCAGCAGGUUAAUACCCCGCUGUUCUGACGGUACCCAAAGAAUAAGCACCGGCUAACUUCGUG